GCCUCAGCCCUUCUCCAGCCCUAUGUAAGCCCUACAUUACCCAUUCUCUGCUGAGAUGGAGAGCAGAAAUGACAAAGUGCAGAAGGAGAGGUAGGAGCAGUGGGUGUCCCUGAGUCCCACAAGCCCUGUAGAGCUGUGCAUUGCCAAAUACUUGCCCUCUCUCUGCUGGAUUCUUGACUAACUUCUGCACAGGAGCGCUCUAGGACCCAAGAAGCACUGAGAAUUUCCCCUGGAGUCAGGCUGUAUCCCAGCCCUUCUGCAGAACAAGAUUCAGAUCCUCAGGUAGGACCCAGGUUUGGGGUACAGCGAGGCUGGAGCCUGAUGCUGCUUUGUCCAGAUUGACUUUUCUGACAUUUUGCUGAGCAUCAGAAGGAUGCAGACAGCUUGGGCUGUUUAGAA
rnacentral:lncRNA from 1 species